rnacentral:rRNA from 1 species
AGAGUUUGAUCAUGGCUCAGGACGAACGCUGGCGGCGUGCUUAACACAUGCAAGUCGAACGGAGCUUACUUAGACGGAGUUUUCGGACAAAGACUAUAUAAGCUUAGUGGCGGACGGGUGAGUAACGCGUGAGGAACCUGCCUUUCAGAGGGGGAUAACGUUUGGAAACGAACGCUAAUACCGCAUGAUACAGUAUGGCGGCAUCGCCUAACUGUCAAAGGAGCAAUCCGCUGAAAGAUGGCCUCGCGUCCGAUUAGCCAGUUGGCGGGGUAAAGGCCCACCAAAGCGACGAUCGGUAGCCGGACUGAGAGGUUGGACGGCCACAUUGGGACUGAGACACGGCCCAGACUCCUACGGGAGGCAGCAGUGGGGGAUAUUGCACAAUGGGCGAAAGCCUGAUGCAGCAACGCCGCGUGAGGGAAGAAGGUUUUCGGAUUGUAAACCUCUGUCCUCGGUGACGAAACAAAUGACGGUAGCCGAGGAGGAAGCCACGGCUAACUACGUGCCAGCAGCCGCGGUAAUACGUAGGUCACAAGCGUUGUCCGGAAUUACUGGGUGUAAAGGGAGCGCAGGCGGGAAGACAAGUUGGAAGUGAAAUCCAUGGGCUCAACCCAUGAACUGCUUUCAAAACUGUUUUUCUUGAGUAGUGCAGAGGUAGGCGGAAUUCCCGGUGUAGCGGUGGAAUGCGUAGAUAUCGGGAGGAACACCAGUGGCGAAGGCGGCCUACUGGGCACCAACUGACGCUGAGGCUCGAAAGUGUGGGUAGCAAACAGGAUUAGAUACCCUGGUAGUCCACACUGUAAACGAUGAUUACUAGGUGUUGGAGGAUUGACCCCUUCAGUGCCGCAGUUAACACAAUAAGUAAUCCACCUGGGGAGUACGACCGCAAGGUUGAAACUCAAAGGAAUUGACGGGGGCCCGCACAAGCAGUGGAGUAUGUGGUUUAAUUCGACGCAACGCGAAGAACCUUACCAAGUCUUGACAUCCUGCGACGGUUCUGGAAACAGAACUUUCCUUCGGGACGCAGAGACAGGUGGUGCAUGGUUGUCGUCAGCUCGUGUCGUGAGAUGUUGGGUUAAGUCCCGCAACGAGCGCAACCCUUAUGGUCAGUUACUACGCAAGAGGACUCUGGCCAGACUGCCGUUGACAAAACGGAGGAAGGUGGGGAUGACGUCAAAUCAUCAUGCCCUUUAUGACUUGGGCUACACACGUGCUACAAUGGCGUUAAACAAAGAGAAGCAAGACCGCGAGGUGGAGCAAAACUCAGAAACAACGUCCCAGUUCGGACUGCAGGCUGCAACUCGCCUGCACGAAGUCGGAAUUGCUAGUAAUCGCAGAUCAGCAUGCUGCGGUGAAUACGUUCCCGGGCCUUGUACACACCGCCCGUCACACCAUGAGAGCCGGGGGGACCCGAAGUCGGUAGUCUAACCGCAAGGAGGACGCCGCCGAAGGUAAAACUGGUGAUUGGGGUGAAGUCGUAACAAGGUA